rnacentral:rRNA from 1 species
GUCGUGGGCGUAGGUAAAUUGAGGAGAGCUGAUCCUAGUACGAGAGGACCGGAUUGGACCUACCUCUGGUGUAUCUGUUGUCACGCCAGUGGCAGUGCAGAGUAGCUAUGUAGGGAAUGGAUAACCGCUGAAAGCAUCUAAGCGGGAAGCCAACUUCAAGAUGAGUUUUCCUGUUUUUAAAAAACUAAGAUCCCAGAAAGACUAUCUGGUUGAUAGGCUAGACGUGGAAGCAUAGUGAUAUGUUGAGCUGACUAGUACUAAUAGAUCGAGAGUUUAACCCUA